UGGGAGACCCAGUCAUGCAUGCGUCACAAUACUAGCUACAAAAUAUACUCUGCAAUUAUUUAUUGUGUACCGGGGACAUGCGCUCGGAACGACAGAAUAAUGGGAAAGCGUAAACCGAAGGUUUCCUCCACGACGACGAUAAAAUGGAUACUACUGACAUUGCUUCUAAUAGUUGUGUGGGGUGUGUACACAACAAAGAUGUUCGAGGUCAUCAUGUCCGGUAAGGUCAUGACCUUACGACUCCUCCGGAAUCAUCUGUCAAGUGCAUGCGCGGAUGACGAACUGACGUCAUUGAUAUACAAUAUUUCGCCAAUGAGAGAUUACGACAAGGGGACUUUUUCCGACAGGGAGCUAGAAAGGAUUAAAGCGUGUAACAGGUCGUCAGAAAUACAAAGGAAACAUGGAUAUGUGAAAACUAAAAUGUUUAAACCUGUUCGCUGGACGUCUCAUUCCUAUCUUGAUAACAGGAGUACCGUUAUAGAACUUGGUGGGUACCUCGGGGACGAUGUCGAGAACCUGUUACUACGAUACCAACCGAGGCGCUACAUAGUAGUGGAACCAGUGUAUGAAUUCUACAGAAAACUUGUGAAGAGAUUUGAGCAUGUUCCGAAUGUUAUCGUCUAUCACUUCGGUAUCGGAGUUAAUACUGUUAGGACGUCAGUAGAAAUGAGUAUGGAUGGUACUUCAAGUUUUGAUACAAAGCAAGGGAGGUAUUGAUAUUAGUCUUGUGAGCGCCCAAACCUUCUUCCUCGGAAUCGGACUGGGCCUGUUCGAUGUGGAUCUACUUACGAUGAACUGUGAAGGCUGUGAAUUCGCUGUGCUUGACUUUCUUCUAGGUACAAAUUUGAUUAAUAAUAUACGGAACAUCCAGUUCCAACCGCAUAAAAUAGAUCGAGUUCCCGAUUCUGCUUAUAAAUAUUGUGAAUAUGAAGAACGAUUAAAACGAACACAUCAGCUUGUAUUUCGACACCCAUUUUGGUGGGAAAGUUGGACUCUGAAACACAGGCCUUUACCCAAUGAACAUAUAUUUGAUGAUAUUACAAACAAUGCUAGCCUUAUGGACGAAAUCCUCAGUUAGUAUAGAUCUUUGUUUACAUGAGCAAUAUACAUAUUUCACAAUCUCUUGAUUCAAAUGUUAUUUUAAUAGGGCAUACACAAGUCUGCGUAGGAUGAACGCUUUCUACAAGUUAUUGUUUUUGUGGGUUUUUUUCAGUGUUUGUUUGCAUUUUUCGUCUGUUUUCUUUCAAAACCUGUCUUAAUUGUAUAACGUCUAAUAUAAAUAGGUUGUUUUUUAUUUCAUAUUUUAUAAAUAUGAAAAUUACACUGUUGUUGGGCCGGAUGGAUUUUGGUUUUGUUUUGUUUUACUUAAUGUCCUAUGUAAUUACGACCUUCCCUGUACGAGAUGUACAUGUAAUUAUUACCUCCCUUGACUGUACGAAAUGUAUGUGUAAUUAUUACCUCCCUUGACUGUACGAGAUGUAUGUGUAAUUACGAUCUCCCUUGACUGUACGAGAUGUAUGUGUAAUUAUUACCUCCCUUGACUGUACGAGAUGUAUAUGUAAUUACGAUCUCCCUUGACUGUACGAGAUGUAUGUGUAAUUACGACCUUCCUUGACUGUACGAGAUGUAUAUGUAAUUACGAUCUCCCUUGACUGUACGAGAUGUAUGUGUAAUUAUGACCUCCCUUGACUGAACGAGAUGUAUGUGUAAUGAUUACCUCCCUUGACUGUACGAGAUGUAUGUGUAAUUAUUACCUUCCUUGACUGUACGAGAUGUAUGUGUAAUUAUGACCUCCCUUGACUGUACGAGAUGUAUAUGUAAUUAUUACCUCCCUUGACUGUACGAGAUGUAUAUGUAAUUAUUACCUCCCUUGACUGUACGAGAUGUAUAUGUAAUUAUUACCUCCCUUGACUGUACGAAAUGUAUGUGUAAUUAUUACCUCCCUUGACUGUACGAGAUGUACAUGUAAUUAUUACCUCCCUUGACUGUACGAGAUGUAUAUGUAAUUAUUACCUCCCUUGACUGUACGAGAUGUAUAUGUAAUUAUGACCUCCCUUGACUGUACGAGAUGUAUGUGUAAUUAUGACCUCCCUUGACUGUACGAGAUGUACAUGUAAUUAUUACCUCCCUUGACUGUACGAGAUGUAUGUGUAAUUACGACCUCCCUUGACUGUACGAGAUGUAUGUGUAAUUACGAUCUCCCUUGACUGUACGAGAUGUAUGUGUAAUUACGAUCUCCCUUGACUGUACGAGAUGUAAUUACGAUCUCCCUUGAUUGUACGAGAUGUAUGUGUAAUUAUUACCUCCCUUGACUGUACGAGAUCUAUGUGUAAUUAUUACCUCCCUUGACUGUACGAGAUGUACAUGUAAUUACGAUCUCCCUUGACUGUACGAGAUGUAUGUGUAAUUAUGACCUCCCUUGACUGUACGAGAUGUAUAUGUAAUUAUUACCUCCCUUGACUGUACGAGAUGUAUAUGUAAUUAUUACCUCCCUUGACUGUACGAAAUGUAUGUGUAAUUAUUACCUCCCUUGACUGUACGAGAUGUACAUGUAAUUAUUACCUCCCUUGACUGUACGAGAUGUAUAUGUAAUUAUUACCUCCCUUGACUGUACGAGAUGUAUAUGUAAUUAUGACCUCCCUUGACUGUACGAGAUGUAUGUGUAAUUAUGACCUCCCUUGACUGUACGAGAUGUACAUGUAAUUAUUACCUCCCUUGACUGUACGAGAUGUAUGUGUAAUUACGACCUCCCUUGACUGUACGAGAUGUAUGUGUAAUUACGAUCUCCCUUGACUGUACGAGAUGUAUGUGUAAUUACGAUCUCCCUUGACUGUACGAGAUGUAAUUACGAUCUCCCUUGAUUGUACGAGAUGUAUGUGUAAUUAUUACCUCCCUUGACUGUACGAGAUCUAUGUGUAAUUAUUACCUCCCUUGACUGUACGAGAUGUACAUGUAAUUACGAUCUCCCUUGACUGUACGAGAUGUAUGUGUAAUUACGACCUCCCUUGACUGUACGAGAUGUAUGUGUAAUUAUUACCUCCCUUGACUGUACGAAAUGUACAUGUAAUUAUUACCUCCCUUGACUGUACGAGAUAUGUGUGUAAUUAUUACCUUCCUUGACUGUACGAGAUGUGUGUGUAAUUAUUACCUCCCUUGACUGUACGAGAUGUAUGUGUAAUUAUUACCUCCCUUGACUAUACGAGAUGUAUAUGUAAUAAUUACCUCCCUUGACUGUACGAGAUGUACAUGUAAUUAUUACCUCCCUUGACUGUACGAGAUGUACAUGUAAUUAUUACCUCCCUUGACUGUACGAGAUGUAUGUGUAAUUACGACCUCCCUUGACUGUACGAGAUGUAUGUGUAAUUAUUACCUCCCUUGACUGUACGAGAUGUAUAUGUAAUUAUUACCUCCCUUGACUGUACGAGAUGUACAUGUAAUUAUUACCUCCCUUGACUGUACGAGAUGUACAUGUAAUUAUUACCUCCCUUGACUGUACGAGAUGUACAUGUAAUUAUUACCUCCCUUGACUGUACGAGAUGUACAUGUAAUUACGAUCUCCCUUGACUGUACGAGAUGUAUGUGUAAUUACGAUCUCCCUUGACUGUACGAGAUGUAUGUGUAAUUACGACCUCCCUUGACUGUACGAGAUGUAUGUGUACUUAUGAUCUCCCUUGACUGUACGAGAUGUAUGUGUAAUUACGACCUCCCUUGACUGUAUGAGAUUAUGUGUAAUUAUUACCUCCCUUGACUGUACGAGAUGUAUAUGUAAUUAUUACCUCCCUUGACUGUACGAGAUGUACAUGCAAUUAUUACCUCCCUUGACUGUACGAGAUGUACAUGUAAUUAUUACCUCCCUUGACUGUACGAGAUGUACAUGUAAUUAUUACCUCCCUUGACUGUACGAGAUGUACAUGUAAUUAUUACCUCCCUUGACUGUACGAGAUGUACAUGAAAUUACGACCUCCCUUGACUGUACGAGAUACUUGUGUAAUUACGAUCUCCCUUGACUGUACGAGAUGUAUGUGUAAUUACGACCUCCCUUGACUGUACGAGAUGUAUGUGUAAUUACGAUCUCCCUUGACUGUACGAGAUGUAUGUGUAAUUACGACCUUCCUUGACUGUACGAGAUGUAUGUGUAAUUACGACCUCCCUUGACUAUACGAGAUGUAUGUGUACUUAUGAUCUCCCUUGACUGUACGAGAUGUAUGUGUAAUUACGACCUCCCUUGACUGUACGAGAUGUAAUUACGAUCUCCCUUGAUUGUACGAGAUGUAUGUGUAAUUAUGACCUCCCUUGACUGUACGAGAUGUAUGUGUAAUUACGACCUCCCUUGACUAUACGAGAUGUAUGUGUACUUAUGAUCUCCCUUGACUGUACGAGAUGUAUGUGUAAUUACGACCUCCCUUGACUGUACGAGAUGCAUGUGUAAUUAUUACCUCCCUUGACUGUACGAGAUGUAUGUGUAAUUAUUACCUCCCUUGACUGUACGAGAUGUAUGUGUAAUUACGACCUCCCUUGACUGUACGAUAUGUUUGUGUAAUUAUGACCUCCCUUGACUGUACGAGAUGUAUAUGUAAUUACGAUCUCCCUUGACUGUACGAGAUGUAUGUGUAAUUACGACCUCCCUUGACUGUACGAGAUCUAUGUGUAAUUAUUACCUCCCUUGGCUGUACGAGAUGUAUAUGUAAUUACGACCUUCCUUGACUGUACGAGAUGUAUGUGUAAUUACGACCUCCCUUGUCUGUACGAGAUGUAUGUGUAAUUACGACCUCCCUUGACUGUACGAGAUGUAUAUGUAAUUACGAUCUCCCUUGACUGAACGUGAUGUAUGUGUAAUUACGAUCUCCCUUGACUGUACGAGAUGUAUGUGUAAUUACGAUCUCCCUUGACUAUACGAGAUGUAUGUGUAAUUAUGACCUCCCUUGACUGUACGAGAUGUAUGUGUAAUUACGAUCUCCCUUGACUGUACGAGAUGUAUGUGCUUUGACAGACUGUGGUUGGAAUGGCUAAUGUGUAUUUUUUGUUAUUUUUGACCCAAAAUAAACUAUCGCGAAAUAUCAAAUGAAUAAAGUUGCGGUUUAGCGCCCCGAAA